rnacentral:rRNA from 1 species
AUUGAACGCUGGCGGCAGGCUUAACACAUGCAAGUCGAGCGGGGGAAGGUAGCUUGCUACCGGACCUAGCGGCGGACGGGUGAGUAAUGCUUAGGAAUCUGCCUAUUAGUGGGGGACAACAUCUCGAAAGGGAUGCUAAUACCGCAUACGUCCUACGGGAGAAAGCAGGGGAUCUUCGGACCUUGCGCUAAUAGAUGAGCCAAAGUCGGAUUAGCUAGUUGGUGGGGUAAAGGCCUACCAAGGCGACGAUCUGUAGCGGGUCUGAGAGGAUGAUCCGCCACACUGGGAGUGAGACACGGCCCAGACUCCUACGGGAGGCAGCAGUGGGGAAUAUUGGACAAUGGGGGGAACCCUGAUCCAGCCAUGCCGCGUGUGUGAGGAAGGCCUUAUGGUUGUAAAGCACUUUAAGCGAGGAGGAGGCUACUCUAGUUAAUACCUAGGGAUAGUGGACGUUACUCGCAGAAUAAGCACCGGCUAACUCUGUGCCAGCCGCCGCAGUAA